CACCUGUAGGAUACAAGGAUCCCAUCUGGAUGAAAAAAGCAAAGAAUCCUUUUUAUAUGGAGCAUCUUGCAAAAUUAGUGUUCUGAGAGUCAUAACAUGGGAAACAAUGCUUAAUUGUUUUGAAUGUGGUCCAAGGACGCUUGCAUCAGAAUCACUGUGGAUGCUGAUUAUUGAUACAAAAAAUCAUCGCCACGUCUUGUUAUGUCAGAAGCUCUUCUACCAGAAGCUGAAAGAGAAUAGCCUUUCAAGGAACAUGGAGAAGUUAACGUGAGGAUGUCAGAACAAGAACACAGAGGGUCCCUUGGUCCCUAAUACUUUGGGGGCCACCAUAUUAUCCCUGGACUGCUUAGCAUGGACCGUUAUAUAAUAGAGAAAUAAAUUUAUUUCCUGUAUUUGCCAUUGCUAUUUUUGCCUUCGAUAAUGCAGCUGAUCUGAAAACUAAUUAAUUCAGAGAUAAAAAGAGAACGUACGUUCUGACUAAUCAUGGUGAAUAGUCUCUGUUCUGUUCUUUAUUAAAAAGCAUGGAUUUCUCUGUUGUGAUGUCUUCCUAUUUAAGGUAAAAAGAUAAGGUCUUUCUUCUUUUUUUCUCUUUUUAAAUUUCAAUAUCUUUUGAGGUACAAGUGGUUUUUGGUUACAUGGAUGAGGUCUGUAGCAGUGAAUUCUGAGAUUUUAGUGUACCCAUUACCCAAGCAGUGUACACUGUACCCAAUAUGUAGUCUUUUAUCCCUCAUCCCUCUCCCAACCUUCCC
rnacentral:lncRNA from 10 species